CGAUAUUGUAUUUUCCUUGUUGAUAUGAGCAAACAGGGCAAAUUUAUCUAACUGCCUUUUUGAUAUUGGGUAUAACUAACAAAGAGGGCGAAAUGUUUUGAUUGCCCUUUAAUGCAGCUACCAAAGAGGGCGAAAUGUUUUGGUUGCCCUUUAAUAAUUAACCAGAGUAAUAUUAACAAAAGAGGAUGAAAGAUUCUUCGUCUUCUCCUCCCAAGUUUCUUCUAAUCCUUCAUUUUCCUUUUUAACCGACUUGAUCCAGAUAAACUUGAAUUUCCAUUCUCUUCUUCCCGAUUCAAAAAGAAAAAAAUAGUUUUUCUUUGCAAAUUUUCUGGAACCCUAGAAAUCGAUUUGUUCAAAAAAUCUCAAAAAGAUUUGAUCGGUUUCGGCAAUAAGAUUUCAGACGAUUUGAUAAGCUCUCCCUCCAAUCCAAAAGAUUUGCUAGAAUCAUUGUCCAAACACCUGGAUGUUGGCUUCUUCUUAGACUUUGGGGAUUUUCUUGCUUUUUUUAGCUUCAUGUUUGGAUUCACCUGCUGAGCCUAGGUCUAUUCCUUCAUCUUCGAUGUACCCCACGCUUGAUGUCGGUGAUAGGAUCUUGGCUGAGAAGUUACACCGAGCUGGAGAUUGUUGUCCCUGAUAAUGGGGUUAUUGGUUUGCAUUAUGAGAAUUUGGAGAUUGAGAGAGUUUUGGUAGAUGGGGAGCCAACAGAGUUUGAUGUUUUCCCUCACUAUCAUUCGUCCGAUCCCGGUUUUGGACAUUGCACAUCGUAUCCACUCUGUUGCAGUUUCAAAGAACGAUUUCUAGGAAACACAUUUCACUUAUACAAACAGAUUCCAGCCUAGGAAAAUAGCAUGAAAGAUAAUACCUACAUACUUUUGCUGUUGUUCUGGUUCCUCCUAAAAGAUGAUGUUAUACUAACAUAUGGUAAGGGCCUUGCGUACGAUCACACAACUUAUUCUGAGGAAAACUGAGGAGCAUAAAGCGUAGAGAAGAGCACAAAAGAGAACAAGCAUAUGAUGAUUGAUCGAGUAGGUUUUGAGUUGGCUGGACAAUCAUUUGAUAUAAGCAUGUAAUAGCUAUAGUGAAUUGUUCCUCUCUUUUUUGAUGGAAAUAUACCGAAGUUAGUUUUGAUCUAACCAUAAUAGUUGUAUGGAUUCAAAUGCUUGUUGUCUAUAUACUUUUACUCUCCCAAGAUGGACAUAAAUGUUAAAGUCCCAGUAUCAUAGUUUUUGAAAGGUGUAA